rnacentral:lncRNA from 1 species
CGGUGAUUCAUGUCUGUCAUAUCUAUUUGAAAUCAACUAUAUUGUAUGAAUUCGUCAUUCUCCGUUAAAUUUUUCGACAUGUUUCAAGUCGGGUCUGUAAUAACUGACUUUACGAUAUUUUUUUCUCAUUGCUGAAGGCGGUGCGGUGACCUAGAUUUACUGUUAUAUUCAUCAUUUGACUUCUAGUGGAUAUAUGUCUCAUUCGCUAUCCUACACAAUCUCCUUGUUUUUAUAUAAAUGAAAUUUGUAAUAUUUCCCAAAUUAGAUUUUCAAAUGAUCUAGGGCAAUAUUGAUCUAAAAAUUGUGCAGUGUCUGUCAGUGUCUUCUGUUGUUUGUUUU